UCAGGAUGAACGCUAGCGACAGGCUUAACACAUGCAAGUCGAGGGGCAGCACAGGUAGCAAUACUGGGUGGCGACCGGCGCACGGGUGCGUAACGCGUAUGCAACCUACCUAUAAUAGGGGGAUAGCCUUCUGAAAGGGAGAUUAAGACCGCAUAAUACAAUUAUUCCGCAUGGUUUGAUUGUAAAAUAUUUAUAGAUUAUAGAUGGGCAUGCGUCUGAUUAGAUAGUUGGAGAGGUAACGGCUCACCAAGUCAACGAUCAGUAGGGGUUCUGAGAGGAAGGUCCCCCACACCGGAACUGAGACACGGUCCGGACUCCUACGGGAGGCAGCAGUGAGGAAUAUUGGUCAAUGGGCGAGAGCCUGAACCAGCCAAGUCGCGUGAAGGAAGAAGGUCUUAUGGAUUGUAAACUUCUUUUAUAGGGGAAUAAAGAUGAGUACGUGUACUCAGUUGUAGGUACCCUAAGAAUAAGGAUCGGCUAACUCCGUGCCAGCAGCCGCGGUAAUACGGAGGAUCCGAGCGUUAUCCGGAUUUAUUGGGUUUAAAGGGUGCGUAGGCGGGUUGAUAAGUCAGUGGUGAAAGGUUUGCGCUCAACGUAGACAUUGCCAUUGAAACUGUCAGUCUUGAGUACAAAUGAGGUAGGCGGAAUGUGUUGUGUAGCGGUGAAAUGCAUAGAUAUGACACAGAACACCAAUUGCGAAUCAGGAUGAACGCUAGCGACAGGCUUAACACAUGCAAGUCGAGGGGCAGCACAGGUAGCAAUACUGGGUGGCGACCGGCGCACGGGUGCGUAACGCGUAUGCAACCUACCUAUAAUAGGGGGAUAGCCUUCUGAAAGGGAGAUUAAGACCGCAUAAUACAAUUAUUCCGCAUGGUUUGAUUGUAAAAUAUUUAUAGAUUAUAGAUGGGCAUGCGUCUGAUUAGAUAGUUGGAGAGGUAACGGCUCACCAAGUCAACGAUCAGUAGGGGUUCUGAGAGGAAGGUCCCCCACACCGGAACUGAGACACGGUCCGGACUCCUACGGGAGGCAGCAGUGAGGAAUAUUGGUCAAUGGGCGAGAGCCUGAACCAGCCAAGUCGCGUGAAGGAAGAAGGUCUUAUGGAUUGUAAACUUCUUUUAUAGGGGAAUAAAGAUGAGUACGUGUACUCAGUUGUAGGUACCCUAAGAAUAAGGAUCGGCUAACUCCGUGCCAGCAGCCGCGGUAAUACGGAGGAUCCGAGCGUUAUCCGGAUUUAUUGGGUUUAAAGGGUGCGUAGGCGGGUUGAUAAGUCAGUGGUGAAAGGUUUGCGCUCAACGUAGACAUUGCCAUUGAAACUGUCAGUCUUGAGUACAAAUGAGGUAGGCGGAAUGUGUUGUGUAGCGGUGAAAUGCAUAGAUAUGACACAGAACACCAAUUGCGAA
rnacentral:rRNA from 1 species